rnacentral:rRNA from 1 species
CCGGGAUAACUCCGGGAAACCGGAGCUAAUACCGGAUAACACCAAAGACCGCAUGGUCUUUGGUUGAAAGGCGGCUUCGGCUGCCACUUGCGGAUGGGCCCGCGGCGCAUUAGCUAGUUGGUGAGGUAACGGCUCACCAAGGCGACGAUGCGUAGCCGGCCUGAGAGGGUGACCGGCCACACUGGGACUGAGACACGGCCCAGACUCCUACGGGAGGCAGCAGUAGGGAAUCUUCCGCAAUGGACGAAAGUCUGACGGAGCGACGCCGCGUGAGCGAAGAAGGCCUUCGGGUCGUAAAGCUCUGUUGUGAGGGACGAAGGAGCGCCGUUUGAAUAAGGCGGCGCGGUGACGGUACCUCACGAGAAAGCCCCGGCUAACUACGUGCCAGCAGCCGCGGUAAUACGUAGGGGGCGAGCGUUGUCCGGAAUUAUUGGGCGUAAAGCGCGCGCAGGCGGUCCUUUAAGUCUGAUGUGAAAGCCCACGGCUCAACCGUGGAGGGUCAUUGGAAACUGGGGGACUUGAGUGCAGGAGAGGAGAGCGGAAUUCCACGUGUAGCGGUGAAAAUGCGUAGAGAUGUGGAGGAACACCAGUGGCGAAGGCGGCUCUCUGGCCUGUAACUGACGCUGAGGCGCGAAAGCGUGGGAGCAAACAGGAUUAGAUACCCUGGUAGUCCACGCCGUAAACGAUGAGUGCUAAGUGUUAGAGGGGGUCACACCCUUUAGUGCUGUAGCUAACGCGAUAAAGCACUCCGCCUGGGGAGUACGGCCCGCAAGGCUGAAACUCAAAGGAAUUGACGGGGGCCCCGCACAAGCGGUGGAGCAUGUGGUUUAAUUCGAAGCAACGCGAAGAACCUUACCAGGUCUUGACAUCCCCUGACAACCCAAGAGAUUGGGCGUUCCCCCUUCGGGGGGACAGGGUGACAGGUGGUGCAUGGUUGUCGUCAGCUCGUGUCGUGAGAUGUUGGGUUAAGUCCCGCAACGAGCGCAACCCUUGCCUCUAGUUGCCAGCAUUCAGUUGGGCACUCUAGAGGGACUGCCGGCUAAAAGUCGGAGGAAGGUGGGGAUGACGUCAAAUCAUCAUGCCCCUUAUGACCUGGGCUACACACGUGCUACAAUGGGCGGUACAAAGGGCUGCGAACCCGCGAGGGGGAGCGAAUCCCAAAAAGCCGCUCUCAGUUCGGAUUGCAGGCUGCAACUCGCCUGCAUGAAGCCGGAAUCGCUAGUAAUCGCGGAUCAGCAUGCCGCGGUGAAUACGUUCCCGGGCCUUGUACACACC